UCCUUCGCCUGUUUAUCAAAAACAUGGCCUUCUGAGUUGAAAUGAUAGGGGGUCAGGCCUGCCCGGUGGUGUACUUAACGGUCGCAGGAUACUGUGCUAAGGUAGCAUAAUAGUUCGUCCCUUAAUUGGGGAAUAGUAUGAAUGGUCAGAUGGUGGAAAAGCUUUAUUAAAAGUAUAGGUUGAAAUUUACUUUCAGGUGCAAAGGCCUGAAUAUAUUUAUUAGACGAGAAGACCCUGUUGAGCUUAGUAGUCCACAAGUCCGAGAGGUUUGUGGUUUAUAUUUUUUCGGGGCUGAAAGGAAGGGAAAGUUAUUCCUUCUUGGUGAGUAAAGAUCCAGCAUGGUUGAUAAGAGGAAGAUAGCUACCACAGGGAUAACAGCGCGAUCCAGCUGUCAAGAUCUUAUUUGAGGCUAGGGUUUGCGACCUCGAUGUUGAAUCAGGGUUUCUAUUGGGUGUAGCAGCUCGGUAAGUAAGACUGUUCGUCUUAUGAAAUCUUACGUGAUCUG
rnacentral:rRNA from 1 species